AGAGCUCUAUUCUGGGAGAGGAGCUGCCACGGAAACACGAAAUGAGACGGUCUCAAUUCUGGGGUUUAGUGAUUGGAAGAAACUGGGAGAAAUUAUUCAAGCCAUGUCUUUGAAAUGGCUACAGUUCUCUCCUUGGUAAUGGCUCUUGGUCACAUUUGUUGUACACCUGCAAGAGGAAUUUUUGAUACAUAGAGAUCAAAAAGCGCUUGGCUUGCUCUGGACAGGGCAAGCUCACUAGUCAGAAAGUGGGGUGUAUCAAGGGAGACAGUGGGCAGUGAGGAAGAGGAAGCUGAGAUACAGGCUGGAGAGGGAGGGGAGAGUGGAACUGGUAUCUACUGGCCAUGAGGCACCCUGGAUGUCUUUAAAGGCAGGAGUGACAGGGCUGGACCGGUAUUUUAAUAAGCCCACUCCAAGAAGAACACUGUGUUUUAGAGAACAUUUAUUCCUCCUGCCCAUAGUUACAAAAUGGGUUGCUCUGAAAAGCCUUGCAUUUGCUGUUGGUGGGUUUUCACUGAGGACUGCGUGCUUUGCUGCAAUUUGGAUGAAACAACUAGCGACUGGAUGGAGGCAGAUGAAAAUAGCCUCUUGCACCGCCGUCCAUUUGGAUGCCUACUUAAGUGCGUGGAUGGAGAAAUAAUGCAGAGGGACCUGACAUGCUAAACCAUCCUCGGCUACCAGACCUGACGGAACCACCUUUGACCUCUAAGGUCUUUGGAGCCAAAAGGGAAGGCAGGUGUCUUCUUUCAGCCCCGCUGCUGGAUAAAUGCAUCCCAGACUCGCUUCCUCUCCGGGGUGAUCUCUGGCAACAGAUGUGCUCCGAGGGCUCCUGGCUCAGCCUGCCUUCCUGCUGUGAAUUCAUCCCACAUUUCCGUCCACACCUCAGCGAUGUCACAGGCUGUCCGUGGCUUGUUCCUUCCCCACCUCCCAGCACACAGAGGGUCUGUGCAGACUGAGGGCCCCAGAGAGGCCAGCAUGGUGGCACCUCACAAACAGAAGUUUUAAAAGUUUUCUAAUUAAAGCAUA